UUGAGGCCAGUCAGGUAAGGCACUCUGUUUGGGUCAGAGAGAUCCUAUGUUCGAUCCAUAGUAACCCGAAAUUAUAAAAAUAUAUUUUUAUAGAGGUAUAAGAAAUAUAAAUGAUACAAAAUAACAAUUUAUACAUAAAUUUAUGUAAGUAUAUAAAGAGACUAUUAAGGAAAUUAGGCUAUGUAUUAAAGAGUAUAAAAAAGAUAAACCGAUAAGGAAUUAAGUUAAUUAACUCUAAGAGAAAUCAGAUAAUAAACGUAGUGAAUUGAAGCAUCUUAUUAACGUCAGGAAAAGAAAUCAAAAGAGAUUCUAUGAUGAGCGUGAGCAAAAAUAGAAAAGUCUAAAUAAUAAGUAGAAUGGACAUAAAGCUGUUUGAAUAUUAUGGGGAACCUUCCUCAAAGACUAAAUAUAAUACAUAAGCGAUAGUAAAUAAGUACCGUGAGGGAAAAUAAGAAGAAAUAGUAGUUUUAUAAGCAGCUCGAGCUUAAGCAAGAGCGUACCUUUUGCAUAAUGGGUCACCAAGUUAAUUUUAGAUGUGAGCAAACGCGCAGUUAAACCGAUCAUCCAAAAAAUGAGAAAUAUCUAAAUUUAGACCCGAAGUACAGUGAUCUUACCAUCGUCAGGAUUAUAAAGGUCCGAACGGGUUAUCGUUGCAAAGAUAUCCGAAGAACUGUGGUAAGUAUAGUGAAAGACAAAUCUGACUGUAUUAGCUGGUUUUCUGCGAAACCUAUAAUAGUAGGCAAUUUAAGUUAAAUCUCAGCAGGUACAGAACUUAAUCUCAGACAAAAUGUAGAAUAAAAAAUACAUUGUGUUUUGUACAUAUCGGGGGAUCGUGAAGAUUUUACCGGUGAGUUUGUGGACUCGAAAUGGUAAAGAUGAAUCUUAAAUUAUCAGACAUAGAAUGAUAAGGUUGUAUGUCAAAAGGGAAACAGCCCAGAACAAGAGUUAAGGUUCCAAAGUUAUUGUUAAGUGAAAUUAAGGAAGUUUUUUCAUAAGUCGGCAAGGAGAUUGGCUUAGAAGCAGCCAUAAUUUAAAGAUCUCGUAUCAGAGCACUUGUUAAAUUUUAAAAGCAUCGAAAAUUUAACGGAUCUAAAUAAUACACCGAUACCUUGUCUAUAAAUAAUUAUAAUUAUUUAUUGGGUAGCAGAACGUUGAGUUAAUAUUAGUAUUUUUUUAUUUUAAAAUAAUUAUAUUAUAACUCAAGUGAGAAUGGUGACAUGAGUAACUAAAAAGUACAAUCAAAUAUAAAUAAUAUUUGAUUAACUCGCCUAAAGCUUAUGGUGAAUUUAAGUAACGGCCUCUAAAUUUUUAAUCUUAAGGUUAUAAUGAUGAGAAAAUGCUUAUUACUCUAAAUGACUACAUUUUUUUAAGUGAAAAGUGUACUGGAAAUAAUUAGUAAUAUAUAAACCGUUCCUAGGAACUGCAAAAAGUAAGCUAGUAGAGAAUACGAAGGCGCAUGAGAUAACAAUCUUAAAGGAACUCGGCAAAUUGACUACCGUAACUUCGGAAUAAGGAGGUCUCAUAUGCUUGAUUAAUAUCGGGUAUAAGGGAAGAAGCAUAAAAUAAUGUUGUACGACUGUUUAAUUAAAACAAAGCACUUUGCGUAAAGAUGAUAAAUCUAAGUAUUGAGUGUGAUGUCUGCCCGAUGCCGGUAGUUAACCAUUUUAACUGAAUUUUAUAAAUUUGGUAUUUGAAGAAUAGCCGGUUAAUGGCGGUCUUAACCUGAGGAUCCUAAGGUAGCGAAAUGCCUUGGCCGUUAAAUGCGGUCUAGCAUGAAUGAUGUAACGAUACAACAGCUGUCUCUAAGAUUGACUCAGUGAAAUUGGAAUAACUGUGCAGAUACAGUUUACCUCUAGGUAGACGAGAAGACCCUAUGCAGCUUUACUGUUACUAAUUAUUGUAUAUAAUACCUGCAAAGUGUAGGAUAGAAGGUUUAUUGAUUAAAUAGAAAUUGAAAUACCUUUAUUUGCUUAUUGUAUAAUAAACCUGAUAAAGGAACAGUUGUUAGGAGACAGUUUAUGUGGGACACAGACCCCUUAAAGAGUAACAGGGUGUAUCUAAAGAAUAUAGCUAUAAGUUUUACUUUUUAUAGUUUGUAAUUAUUUUAACUUUGUUAUAGUUAAUCUUUUAGAAUGUGUAAUACAUUACACAAUAAUAUUAGGUAGGAUUUUCCCUAUGGUGAAAUUAGGUGUAGAAAAAAGAUAUUAAUUUAAUAAAUAAUAUCUAAUAAUUAUUAUAAUUUAUUAUUAAUAAUCAUGUAAAGAUACAAUAAAGGCUAAAUGGCUAAAUCUUGCCUUACUGUUUGAUUCACAACAAAUCUUACAGUCGCGUAAGCGGGGCAUUAGAUCACAAGAUACGAUAAGGAAAGGUCUUGGGUUAUUGGUAAAGCUACGCUAGGGAUGUUAGUCCUUCAAUAUUUAGAGAUUAUUUUUCUAAAUAAUUGAUAUAAUAUUGGGUUAAUUUCAAGAAUUACUUUUUAUAAAGUAAAUUUGAAGCGAAGUUUAUUUUUAAAUUUAAAAUAAAAUUGUUCAACGACUAAAGGUGAGUUAUGUAACAAUAAUCCUUUUUUAAUACCCAACAUUUUUUUUUAUAAAUUAGUUUUAAUAUUAAAAUAAAAAUUGAAAAAAAAUAAUAUAAAUUUAAAAAAUUAUUUUAAUUUAGAUACAAAUAAUAUAUUUAUUAAAUAUAUUAAUAAUAAAUAUAGAAAUAUACCACU
rnacentral:rRNA from 1 species